rnacentral:misc_RNA from 1 species
GAAAUGCGAUAAGUAAUGUGAAUUGCAGAAUUCCGUGAAUCAUCGAAUCUUUGAACGCACAUUGCGCCCUCUGGUAUUCCGGGGGCAUGCCUGUCCGAGCGUCAUUGCGAACCCCUCAAGCACGGCUUGUGUGAUGGGCCCUCCCGCGUCUUGGUCGUCAAGACGGGCCCGAAAUGCAGUGGCGGCUUCGCGGUUAUCCGAUCAGCCAGAGCGUAUGGGGACUCUCUCUCUUGUCACACGCCCGCGGCGCGUACCGACGCCUGUCGACCUUUAUUCAUCUUCUCUCGGUUGACCUCGGAUCAGGUAGGGAUACCCGCUGAACUUAAGC